GGCUGGGUAGCUCAGUGGAUUGAGAGCCAAGCCUAGAGUUGGGAGGUCCUAGGUUCGAAUCCAGCCUCAGCCA
rnacentral:tRNA from 1 species